rnacentral:rRNA from 1 species
UACAGAGGUGGCAAGCGUUGUUCGGAAUUACUGGGCGUAAAGGGCGCGUAGGCGGCCUUCUAAGUCAGACGUGAAAUCCCCAGGCUUAACUUGGGAACUGCGUCUGAUACUGGGAGGCUUGAAUGCGGGAGAGGGAUGUGGAAUUCCAGGUGUAGCGGUGAAAUGCGUAGAUAUCUGGAGGAACACCGGUGGCGAAGGCGGGUCUCUGGGCCGUAACUGACGCUGAGGAGCGAAAGCAUGGGGAGCGAACAGG